GGCCUCCCUCUUUGGGGCGAUUGAUCGUGGGGCUCCAUAAUUGAUCGCCCCAAAGAGGGAGGCC
rfam:Myotis brandtii contig273775, whole genome shotgun sequence.